CAGCCGCCGCGGUAAUACCGGCGGCCCGAGUGGCGGUCACUAUUAUUGGGCUUAAAGCGUCCGUAGCCGGGUUGGGAAGUCCUCCGGGAAAUCUGGCCGCUUAACGGUCAGAAUGCCGGAGGAUACUCCCAGCCUAGGGAGCGGGAGAGGCCGAGGGUAUUCCCGGAGUAGGGGUGAAAUCCUAUAACCCCGGGAGGACCACCUGUGGCGAAGGCGCUCGGCUGGAACGCGUCCGACGGUGAGGGACGAAGGCCAGGGGAGCAAACCGGAUUAGAUACCCGGGUAGUCCUGGCUGUAAACGAUGCGGACUUUGUGUCGGACAAGCUAUGAGCUUGUCCGGUGCCGGAGGGAAACCGUUAAGUCCGCCGCCUGGGGAGUACGGCCGCAAGGCUGAAACUUAAAGGAAUUGGCGGG
rnacentral:rRNA from 1 species